rnacentral:rRNA from 1 species
AGAGCGAACGCUGGCGGCAGGCCUAACACAUGCAAGUCGAGCGCCCGUAGCAAUACGGGAGCGGCAGACGGGAUAGUAACACGUGGGAACGCGCCCUUCGGUUCGGAAUAACUCAGGGAAACUUGAGCUAAUACCGGAUACGCCCUUACGGGGAAAGAUUUAUUGCCGAAGGAACGGCCCGCGUCCGAUUAGCUAGUUGGUGAGGUAAUGGCUCACCAAGGCGACGAUCGGUAGCUGGUCUGAGAGGAUGACCAGCAUCACUGGGACUGAGACACGGCCCAGACUCCUACGGGAGGCAGCAGUGGGGAAUAUGGACAAUGGCGCAAGCCUGAUCCAGCCAUGCCGCGUGGAUGAUGAAGGCCUUAGGGUUGUAAAGUCCUUUUAACGGGGAAGAUAAUGACGGUACCGUAGAAUAAGCCCCGGCUAACUUCGUGCCAGCAGCCGC